rnacentral:rRNA from 1 species
AUUGAACGCUGGCGGCAUGCCUUACACAUGCAAGUCGAACGGUAACGGGCCUUCGGGUGCCGACGAGUGGCGAACGGGUGAGUAAUGUAUCGGAACGUACCUUUCAGUGGGGGAUAACGUAGCGAAAGUUACGCUAAUACCGCAUAUUCUGUGCGCAGGAAAGCAGGGGAUCGCAAGACCUUGCGCUGAUUGAGCGGCCGAUAUCAGAUUAGCUAGUUGGUGAGGUAAAGGCUCACCAAGGCGACGAUCUGUAGCGGGUCUGAGAGGAUGAUCCGCCACACUGGAACUGAGACACGGUCCAGACUCCUACGGGAGGCAGCAGUGGGGAAUUCUGGACAAUGGGGGCAACCCUGAUCCAGCCAUGCCGCGUGAGUGAAGAAGGCCUCGGUUGGUAAGGUA